UCAUCAAGGAUUUUAUGAUUCAAAGUGGUAAAGGUCGGUCAGUACCCUUUACUUGUUGUUUUGAACAAGUGAUUAGUUUUGUUGGUUCUUAACUGGCACUGGCUUUUAUAUAUCUUCUGUGUGUUCUUGGUUCUUUAAUGUAUUUCUUCUUUUCUUGUCUUCUCACUGGAUACCUAUUAUGUUAGAUCUCUGUAGAAUGAUGGUAGUGGAUGCGUGUCAGUUUAUGGAGGAUGAAAAUUUUACUGAGCCAGGAUUGCUCUCCAUGAAAAUUUUAUUGAAUCAGUUCCCCUCGAGCUUUUUGUUGUUCAUGAGCCAAACUUUAUAUUUGAUGCACUACUCACGACUUUGAUCACUAAUAUUAUUGCUCUCAUUCUUUUGUGGUAGGCAAAACACAAAUGGGUGCCAGUUAUCACAUGUGCAAAAUGCACAACAAGUUUGUCUUUGGGAGAGUGCUUGGGGAAGAUUUAUUGGUGAUGCAAAAGAUUGAGAAUGUGGCUACCAAACCCAAUAACCGGCCUAAGCUUACGGAGUGCAGGGCGGUGUGAAAUGUUUUAACCCUCACCCAAAAGGCCAAAACACUCCUUAAAGAACUUUUCUGCUUAAGGGGGAAUGUAGUGAAAGCAUAUUAGUGCCGAACUAAAAAAACUAUGAUAGAAGCUAUGAUUUGUAUUUUAGCAAAAACAAUUUGUUAGAUUUUCUUUCUAUUUGGUGUUUAAGUAAAAAACCUUUCCUGAAAGAAACCAAAUUUUGUUUGGUGUUAAAGCUACAAUAGCAAAUCAGUGGUUCACUUUCCUGUAGCAAAGCCUUUUGUUGUCAGUUUCAUCAAGGAUUUUAUGAUUCAUAGUGGUGAUUUUCUAAAGGUCGGUACCCUUUACAUCUAAAAUAAUCCUCACAAGUAAUUAGUUCUGUUGGUUCUCAACUGGCUCUGGGCUUUUUUUCUCUUGUUUGUGUUCUUUCUGUAUCUCUUCUUUUCUUCUCUUCUUACUGGAUACCUAAUAUGUUAAAUAUUCUCUGCAGAAUGAUGGUAGUGGACAAGUUUGAGGAUGAAAAUUUUACUGCCAAACAUACUGGGCCAGGAUUGCUCUCCACGGUAUGGAAUUGGCUUUAUGAAUCUGAGUUAUAAAUUUGUUUAACUUCUUUCAGUGCAGUGGAUAUAUUGAAACAGUUCCCAUUGUUUUUUUCUUUAUUCAUGAGGUAAAUUUUGUAUUACUCAUGACUUUGAUCACUAAUGUUAUAUGGCUCUCAAUCUAAUUUUGUUGUAGGCAAACAGUGGGCCAAACACAAAUGGGUGUUUGGUCUCAUUAUAAUGGCCUUAUUUACUUGUUGAUGGUAUUUUUGGUUUCAUGCUAGUAUAUGAUAUCUCGCUUUCUGGAAGUAGGUACCAGAGCUGCUUGAGGGAAAUUCGACAAAGUAAAGGGUGUCAAGAUGGCGAGGAAAGAUUGGGAGAAACUGCAUCUACAUAUUGCUUCUCAUAACAACUUCCAUACUGCAUCUUCAGCUGCUGGUUGUGCUUGCUUAGAUUUAAUACCUUCUCUGAGCAUGUGCUGGAC